rnacentral:rRNA from 1 species
UACAGAGGUCUCAAGCGUUGUUCGGAUUCAUUGGGCGUAAAGGGUGCGUAGGCGGCAGUGCAAGUCAGGUGUGAAAUCCCGGGGCUCAACCCCGGAACUGCACUUGAUACUGCUCUGCUAGAGUACUGGAGAGGAGACUGGAAUUUACGGUGUAGCAGUGAAAUGCGUAGAUAUCGUAAGGAAGACCAGUGGCGAAGGCGAGUCUCUGGACAGUUACUGACGCUGAGGCACGAAGGCCAGGGGAGCAAACGGGAU